rnacentral:rRNA from 1 species
UACGUAGGGUGCAAGCGUUGUCCGGAAUUAUUGGGCGUAAAGAGCUCGUAGGCGGUCUGUCACGUCGGCUGUGAAAACCCGAGGCUCAACCUCGGGCCUGCAGUCGAUACGGGCAAACUAGAGUACUGCAGGGGAGACUGGAAUUCCUGGUGCAGCGGUGAAAUGCGCAGAUAUCAGGAAGAACACCAAUGGCGAAGGCAGCUCUCUGGGACGGUACUGACACUGAGACGCGAAAGCGUGGGGAGCGAACAGG